rnacentral:lncRNA from 1 species
GGUGACUCUUGUAAACACGCUUUUACUCAAAACAAAUACACACAGCUAUUCUCCAAAUGUUUGUUCACAUAUUUUGAACCAUUAAAAAGUACUUGUAAUUUUAGGGGAACAGCAUUCUUGGUAAUUUGGCUGCGUGCUCGUUUUAUCCUGGGAAGAGCUGCGUUCCUGUCCUGGUUGGUGUGUGGGAUGAUUUAUCACAGCUGCUUCUGUGGUCCUGGCUAACAGAAUGGAGGACUUCUCAGACGCUAAGGAGAGAAAGGAUAGCUGAGGCCACCGACAAUUUGGGAAGAGGAGCAUGUUUCACAACUGAAGUGUUAGAAAUUGGAGCUCAUAUGAGGUCAGCGAGAAAUAAAGUGGGGGCAUUGCUGAGAUGUCACAUUGAGCAAAGGGGAAAGUACAAUUCAUUUUCAGCCCAAAGGGUGAUUUUGUAUCCCCAUUUUUUAGGGAACACGUCCAUGGUGAGAGUGAGCCACACCUGUAGACCACGUUGCUCCAGCUUUUCCAGCAAGGCCAACGCAGCAUUGAGAAAAUGAAUGCUUCUCUUAGUCAAGCAAGUAAUCAUGUAUUUCCAGAUGAGAGGCACAAAAAAUGAUUAAAGGUUUGGGAAAUUGGAUCUAUACAGAAAGACUAAUGGAACUGACUUCAUAUUUCCUCAAGAAGAAGACGAAACUGAUAGAGCGAGGCUCUCAAUCCCAUGCGUGAAGGGUUAUGUGCAACCAGUGGUUGGAAUUACCUGAAGGCAAAAGCAAGGUCAUUAAGGAACAACCAGACACACUUCCCUUACAUUUGAACAAGACUUUUCAAUCUUUGAGUUCUUAAGCUAGAGGGCUACUCAGAACCAUCUCUAACAAAUAUCAAGAGGUCUUGAGUCUGCCUGGAAAUUUUGGAGCAAUGUUAUACCUCGCUUCCUUUCUGGAUUGGUUUGGUUAGCAGCAGAGAAGACCAGAAGGACUUUGAGGGGUACCUCUCAGAAUUGUAGUUUUCAGACCCUGACUACCAUUAAGCUCAACAAGAUGGCCACUGUCUGAUCAAACAAUAACAGUGACCCUCAAUGCAGCUUCCUCAGUAACCAACCAAACGCUGUCACGGCUCUACAUCAUUUUCUCCAACAACAGGGCUGUCCUGAACCCAUCAGCUCCAUAAAGUAAGUUCUUUAGCAUGACUUUCCAAUUUCUGUAAAUGAUGUCGCCUUUUGUUCAGUCAUCCUGGCACGACACCUCAGAGUCAUUUUAGACUCAUCUGUUUCCCUCACUCCUCAGGGAAGUCUGUCACCAAUGCCUAUUGAGUCUUCCUUCUGUCUUUCUCAUCUUAUAACUGGCCCCUCCUUUUCACCCCCAGGGCCAACAUCCUAGUUCAGGUGACCGUUAAGAUAGACCAGCAAGAAAAUUAAGUUGACUGUUCAAUUCUUGUCUCCUAAAUUCCAAACUCUUCCUUCAUAUUUCUCAAAGGAUAUCCCAAAGAUCACCUCCAAGAAAAUCACCAAAGGAGUUUGUUAAAAAGGCAGAAUCCCCAGGCCCCAGACUUCUGUCUUGA